rnacentral:rRNA from 1 species
GCUUACGACCACACCGGCCUGAGUACGCCUGAUCUCGUCUGAUCUCGGAAGCUAAGCAGGGUCGGGCCUGGUUAGUACUGGAUGGGGACCGCCUGGGAAUACCAGGUGCUGUAAGCU